rnacentral:rRNA from 3 species
CGGGCGUUAAGUUGCAGGGUAUAGACCCGAAACCCGGUGAUCUAGCCAUGGGCAGGUUGAAGGUUGGGUAACACUAACUGGAGGACCGAACCGACUAAUGUUGAAAAAUUAGCGGAUGACCUGUGGCUGGGGGUGAAAGGCCAAUCAAACCGGGAGAUAGCUGGUUCUCCCCGAAAGCUAUUUAGGUAGCGCCUCGUGAAUUCAUCUCCGGGGGUAGAGCACUGUUUCGGCUAGGGGGCCAUCCCGGCUUACCAACCCGAUGCAAACUGCGAAUACCGGAGAAUGUUAUCACGGGAGACACACGGCGGGUGCUAACGUCCGUCGUGAAGAGGGAAACAACCCAGACCGCCAGCUAAGGUCCCAAAGUCAUGGUUAAGUGGGAAACGAUGUGGGAAGGCCCAGACAGCCAGGAUGUUGGCUUAGAAGCAGCCAUCAUUUAAAGAAAGCGUAAUAGCUCACUGGUCGAGUCGGCCUGCGCGGAAGAUGUAACGGGGCUAAACCAUGCACCGAAGCUGCGGCAGCGACACUGUGUGUUGUUGGGUAGGGGAGCGUUCUGUAAGCCUGUGAAGGUGUGUCGUGAGGC